rnacentral:rRNA from 1 species
AGGGUUUGAUCAUGGCUCAGAUUGAACGCUGGCGGCAGGCCUAACACAUGCAAGUCGAGCGGAAACGACAACAUUGACCCUUCGGGUGAUUUGUUGGGCGUCGAGCGGCGGACGGGUGAGUAAUGCCUGGGAAAUUGCCCUGAUGUGGGGGAUAACCAUUGGAAACGAUGGCUAAUACCGCAUAAUGUCUACGGACCAAAGAGGGGGACCUUCGGGCCUCUCGCUUCAGGAUAUGCCCAGGUGGGAUUAGCUAGUUGGUGAGGUAAUGGCUCACCAAGGCGACGAUCCCUAGCUGGUCUGAGAGGAUGAUCAGCCACACUGGAACUGAGACACGGUCCAGACUCCUACGGGAGGCAGCAGUGGGGAAUAUUGCACAAUGGGCGCAAGCCUGAUGCAGCCAUGCCGCGUGUAUGAAGAAGGCCUUCGGGUUGUAAAGUACUUUCAGUCGUGAGGAAGGCGUUGGAGUUAAUAGCUUCAUCGUUUGACGUUAGCGACAGAAGAAGCACCGGCUAACUCCGUGCCAGCAGCCGCGGUAAUACGGAGGGUGCGAGCGUUAAUCGGAAUUACUGGGCGUAAAGCGCAUGCAGGUGGUUUGUUAAGUCAGAUGUGAAAGCCCGGGGCUCAACCUCGGAACCGCAUUUGAAACUGGCAGGCUAGAGUACUGUAGAGGGGGGUAGAAUUUCAGGUGUAGCGGUGAAAUGCGUAGAGAUCUGAAGGAAUACCAGUGGCGAAGGCGGCCCCCUGGACAGAUACUGACACUCAGAUGCGAAAGCGUGGG